rnacentral:sRNA from 1 species
UAAACGUAUGUAAAUACACAUGGGUCAAGUGCAAUACAAGCAAACACACACAGACACAAGCGCAAAAUUAUUAGAACCACUAAUAAUUAAUGUGCAUGUGCAUGCAAAUGUAUUAUACCAUGAACCAAAUGUUAAAAAAAAGUGACGCUUCUUUUUCACUGAUUUGUUGAGAUAUCGAUAGAAUUAAGGAAUCGAAUGGAUUAUUUAUUCGAUUAUAUCGAAAGUGUGACCAGACACACAAGACAAGCAAUGGCUUAAUUAUUGAUUUAUUUUGUAUUCGUAUAAAUAUAAAACUAAGUUAAUUCUUUCUCCAAAAUGGCUUACAAAUUUAAAUAUAUGGCAAAUAUAAUUUUAA